GAAUAUGAGAGUGAGCUAGUAUGUAUGACCUCUGUCACCCCACUGCUCACUAGGGCUGAUCUGGCUGGCUAGGUGGGUGUGUCCCCUUCCUCCUUCACUGCUCCACAUGUCCCUCCCGAAGCUGUGCACUCUGUCCAAAAGGACAACCUUUCCAGAUAGGGGAGCACUGUUCUUCCCUCAAGGGUAAAUGAGAAGCUGUGCUCACCUGCCUGAACCUCCAAACAAGCUCUCAAGAUAACCAAACGAUAAAGAAGCGUUUCCUUUAGAGAACAUUUCCAGUGAAUAAUGCAGAAGGAAGAAAUGAUAUU
ensembl:misc_RNA 7SK 7SK RNA